UUUUGAGCAAUUAGCUUGCUAAGGGUGGAACCGUUGGCAGUUUAGUGGCGGACGGGUGAGUAACGCGUGGGUAACCUGCCUUACACAGGGGGAUAACACCUGGAAACAGGUGCUAAUACCGCAUAACAGGAAGAGGCGCAUGCCACUUUCUUGAAAACUCCGGUGGUGUAAGAUGGACCCGCGUCUGAUUAGCUAGUUGGCGGGGUAACGGCCCACCAAGGCGACGAUCAGUAGCCGGCCUGAGAGGGUGGACGGCCACAUUGGGACUGAGACACGGCCCAAACUCCUACGGGAGGCAGCAGUGGGGAAUAUUGGACAAUGGGGGGAACCCUGAUCCAGCGACGCCGCGUGAGUGAAGGAGUAUUUCGGUAUGUAAAGCUCUAUCAGCAGGGAAGAAAGAAAUGACGGUACCUGACUAAGAAGCCCCGGCUAACUACGUGCCAGCAGCCGCGGUAAUACGUAGGGGGCAAGCGUUAUCCGGAUUUACUGGGUGUAAAGGGAGCGUGGACGGUGAUGCAAGUCUGAAGUGAAAGGCGGGGGCUCAACCCCCGGACUGCUUUGGAAACUGUAUGACUGGAGUGCAGGAGAGGUAAGUGGAAUUCCUAGUGUAGCGGUGAAAUGCGUAGAUAUUAGGAGGAACACCAGUGGCGAAGGCGGCUUACUGGACUGUAACUGACGUUGAGGCUCGAAAGCGUGGGGAGCAAACAGGAUUAGAUACCCUGGUAGUCCACGCCGUAAACGAUGAUCACUAGGUGUCGGUGGGUAUGGACCCAUCGGUGCCGCAGCGAACGCAGUAAGUGAUCCACCUGGGGA
rnacentral:rRNA from 1 species